GACGAACGCUGGCGGCGUGCUUAACACAUGCAAGUCGAUCGGAAAGGCCCUGCUUUUGUGGGGUGCUCGAGUGGCGAACGGGUGAGUAACACGUGAGUAACCUGCCCUUGACUUUGGGAUAACUUCAGGAAACUGGGGCUAAUACCGGAUAGGAGCUCCUGCUGCAUGGUGGGGGUUGGAAAGUUUCGGCGGUUGGGGAUGGACUCGCGGCUUAUCAGCUUGUUGGUGGGGUAGUGGCUUACCAAGGCUUUGACGGGUAGCCGGCCUUAGAGGGUGACCGGCCACAUUGGGACUGAGAUACGGCCCAGACUCCUACGGGAGGCAGCAGUGGGGAAUAUUGCACAAUGGGCGGAAGCCUGAUGCAGCAACGCCGCGUGCGGGAUGACGGCCUUCGGGUUGUAAACCGCUUUCGCCUGUGACGAAGCGUGAGUGACGGUAAUGGGUAAAGAAGCACCGGCUAACUACGUG
rnacentral:rRNA from 1 species